AACAGAGAAGAAACCAAGAAGGGAGCCAAAGCCGAACAAGUGUGGUUGUGUAAUAUUAUAGCACUCCCGGCUGAAGAGAUCAAAGAUGACAUCGUUCCUAGGUAAAGAGAAAUUGGCCUGGUGAAGAUUGUGAUGCUAGUUAUGUGGUGGUGGUUUCCUCUACGACAGUAAAUCCUGUACACAAUUUUCAUAGGUGAUGUUUUCCUUGGUGGUGUUUCAUUGUUGAGUUGGCAUAAUUGUUUGUUGAAAUGAAAUCAACUAUAUACGUUGCCUUCA